CAGCAGUAAUGGCAUAACCAGGGAGUUUGUUAGAAAGGUAAGAGAAGCCAACAAAUAAAGAAGGGAUCUAAUCUAGAUGAGAGAAACCAGCGAAGAGAAAGGGAAGAGGAACCAGGAUAAUGCAGAAUCACCAAAGCAAGCUGGAUUGUGCAGAUGACUACAAGCCCCGGGAGUUGACAGAGCCACAAGAAAGAAGGUGCCU